AGUGAACGCUGGCGGUAGGCCUAACACAUGCAAGUCGAACGGCAGCACAGUAAGAGCUUGCUCUUACGGGUGGCGAGUGGCGGACGGGUGAGGAAUACAUCGGAAUCUACUUUUUCGUGGGGGAUAACGUAGGGAAACUUACGCUAAUACCGCAUACGACCUACGGGUGAAAGCAGGGGAUCUUCGGACCUUGCGCGAUUGAAUGAGCCGAUGUCGGAUUAGCUAGUUGGCGGGGUAAAGGCCCACCAAGCCGACGAUCCGUAGCUGGUCUGAGAGGAUGAUCAGCCACACUGGAACUGAGACACGGUCCAGACUCCUACGGGAGGCAGCAGUGGGGAAUAUUGGACAAUGGGCGCAAGCCUGAUCCAGCCAUACCGCGUGGGUGAAGAAGGCCUUCGGGUUGUAAAGCCCUUUUGUUGGGAAGGAAAAGCAGCAGGUUAAUACCCCGCUGUUCUGACGGUACCCAAAGAAUAAGCACCGGCUAACUUCGUG
rnacentral:rRNA from 1 species